rnacentral:rRNA from 1 species
GAUGAACGCUGGCGGCGUGCCUAAUACAUGCAAGUCGAGCGAACGGACGAGAAGCUUGCUUCUCUGAUGUUAGCGGCGGACGGGUGAGUAACACGUGGAUAACCUACCUAUAAGACUGGGAUAACUUCGGGAAACCGGAGCUAAUACCGGAUAAUAUUUUGAACCGCAUGGUUCAAAAGUGAAAGACGGUCUUGCUGUCACUUAUAGAUGGAUCCGCGCUGCAUUAGCUAGUUGGUAAGGUAACGGCUUACCAAGGCAACGAUGCAUAGCCGAACUGAGAGGGUGAUCGGCCACACUGGAACUGAGACACGGUCCAGACUCCUACGGGAGGCAGCAGAAGGGAAUCUUCCGCAAUGGGCGAAAGCCUGACAGAGCGACGCCGCGUGAGUGAUGAAGGUCUUCGGAUCGUAAAACUCUGUUAUUAGGGAAGAACAUAUGUGUAAGGAAAUGUGCACAUCUUGACGGUAACUAGUCAGAAAGCCACGGCUAACUACGUG